CCUACGGGUGGCAGCAGUGGGGAAUAUUGGACAAUGGGCGCAAGCCUGAUCCAGCGAUGCCGCGUGAGCGAAGAAGGAUUUCGGUGUGUAAAGCUCUUUUUGCAGGGAAGAAAAUGACGGUACCUGUGUAAGAAGCUCCGGCCAACUUCGUGACAGCAGCGGCGGUAAUACGUAUGGUGCAAGCGUUAUACGGAUAUACGGGGCGUAAGGGGGGCGUAGGCGGCUUGCCAAGUCUGCUGUGAAAUGCCGGGGCUCAACCCCGGAGCUGCAUUGGAAACUGGCAGGCUGGAGUGCCGGGGGGGCAGGCGGAAUUCCUGGUGUAGCGGUGAAAUGCGGAGAUAUGAGGAGGAACACCGAUGGCGAAGGCAGCCUGCUAAACUGUAACUGACGCGGAGGCUCGAAAGCGUGGGGAGCAAACAGGAUUAGAUACCCCUGUAGUC
rnacentral:rRNA from 1 species